UACGUAGGGGGCAAGCGUUGUCCGGAAUCAUUGGGCGUAAAGCGCGCGUAGGCGGCCAGAUAAGUCCGGUGUGAAAGUCACAGGCUCAACCUGUGAAUGCCGCUGGAAACUGUCUGGCUUGAGUCCGGAAGGGGCGAGUGGAAUUCCUGGUGUAGCGGUGAAAUGCGCAGAUAUCAGGAGGAACACCAAUGGCGAAGGCAGCUCGCUGGAACGGUACUGACGCUGAGACGCGAAGGCGUGGGGAGCGAACGGG
rnacentral:rRNA from 1 species